CCUACGUGAGGCAGCAGUGAGGAAUAUUGGUCAAUGGACGAGAGUCUGAACCAGCAAAGUAGCGUGAAGGAUGACUGCCCUAUGGGUUGUAAACUUCUUUUAUAUGGGAAUAAAAUGUUCCACGUGUGGGAUUUUGUAUGUACCAUAUGAAUAAGGAUGGGCUAACUCCGUGCCAGCAGCCGCGGUAAUACGGAGGAUCCGAGCGUUAUCCGGAUUUAUUGGGUUUAAGGGGAGCGUAGGUGGAUUGUUAAGUCAGUUGUGAAAGUUUGCGGCUCAACCGUAAAAUUGCAGUUGAAACUGGCAGUCUUGAGUACAGUAGAGGUGGGCGGAAUUCGUGGUGUAGCGGUGAAAUGCUUAGAUAUCACGAAGAACUCCGAUUGCGAAGGCAGCUCACUGGACUGCAACUGACACUGAGGCUCGAAAGUGUGGGUAUCAAACAGGAUUAGAUACCCCUGUAGUC
rnacentral:rRNA from 1 species